rnacentral:pre_miRNA from 17 species
GGGUCUCUCUUGUUAGACCAGGUCGAGCCCGGGAGCUCUCUGGCUAGCAAGGGAACCCAC